rnacentral:rRNA from 1 species
UACACUCCUACGGGAGGCAGCAGUGGGGAAUAUUGCACAAUGGGCGCAAGCCUGAUGCAGCCAUGCCGCGUGUAUGAAGAAGGCCUUCGGGUUGUAAAGUACUUUCAGCGGGGAGGAAGGCGAUAAGGUUAAUAACCUUGUCGAUUGACGUUACCCGCAGAAGAAGCACCGGCUAACUCCGUGCCAGCAGCCGCGGUAAUACGGAGGGUGCAAGCGUUAAUCGGAAUUACUGGGCGUAAAGCGCACGCAGGCGGUCUGUCAAGUCGGAUGUGAAAUCCCCGGGCUCAACCUGGGAACUGCAUUCGAAACUGGCAGGCUAGAGUCUUGUAGAGGGGGGUAGAAUUCCAGGUGUAGCGGUGAAAUGCGUAGAGAUCUGGAGGAAUACCGGUGGCGAAGGCGGCCCCCUGGACAAAGACUGACGCUCAGGUGCGAAAGCGUGGGGAGCAAACAGGAUUAGAAACCCUAGUAGUCCCAUGA